rnacentral:rRNA from 1 species
GAUGAGCGCUGGCUACAGGCUUAACACAUGCAAGUCGAGGGGAAACGACGGGGAAGCUUGCUUCCCCGGGCGUCGACCGGCGCACGGGUGAGUAACGCGUAUCCAACCUGCCUCUGACUGAGGGAUAACCCGUCGAAAGUCGGCCUAAUACCUCAUGGCAUCGUCUGCGGGCAUCCAACGACGAUUAAAGAUUUCAUCGGUCAGGGAUGGGGAUGCGUCUGAUUAGCUUGUUGGCGGGGUAACAGCCCACCAAGGCUACGAUCAGUAGGGGUUCUGAGAGGAAGGUCCCCCACAUUGGAACUGAGACACGGUCCAAACUCCUACGGGAGGCAGCAGUGAGGAAUAUUGGGCAAUGGGCGGGAGCCUGAACCAGCCAAGUAGCGUGCAGGAUGACGGCCCUAUGGGUUGUAAACUGCUUUUAUGCGGGGAUAAAGUGAGGGACGUGUCCUUCAUUGCAGGUACCGCAUGAAUAAGGACCGGCUAAUUCCGUG